AGCUACAGCCAUAUCACCCUGCAGCUCAAGACCGGUUAAGCAGGGCUGAGCCUGGUCAGUAGCUGGAUGGAAGACCACAUGGGAAAACUAGGUAGCUGUUGGAA
rnacentral:rRNA from 1 species